rfam:Pristionchus pacificus strain PS312 contig13085, whole genome shotgun sequence.
UCUUCAUUCCCCAUGCUCUCUCGUCGCUCUGACCGCCGAGAGAGUGUGAGAAAUGAAGAGA